CAUGUUCACUACUGUAAGUUGCUCUGGACAAGAGCGUCUGCUAAAUGACUAAAA
rfam:Salmo salar isolate Sally breed double haploid chromosome ssa29, whole genome shotgun sequence.